GCUUGUGCUGAUAGAUUUGUCCUAGAAAAUAAAGAAUUGAUGAACAUUCAUAAACAUCUUACUUUUAAUUUUCAUAAAUGGCAGACCAGGUCAUAACCAUAUAACUGAGAGCAACAUAAAUUUUCUUUAUACUGAACGUUCGACUUUUCUGCAAACAGCACACAUCAUAAACCAUUUAAAAUAUGCUUUUCCUUCAGUCUUUACAGAGCUUACAUGUAGAGUUGCCACCAUAUCCAAAUAAGGCUUGCAGAUGUGACAGUUCCUAAAAACCCACAUCCAUGCCUCCCUCACAUGGACAUGUGCUUCAAGGAAAGCUGACCCAAUCCACAGCUCCAAGGGUGAUCCUGAAUUAGUCUAGGCCAUGCAUUCUGGGGGUAGGGUAAUAAACUUACUCUUUUUUAUGCAUAAAGCAUAAAGUGUAUAAACAUACAGUAAUAUCUAUGGCAUUAAAAUUUCAUGGGGAGGAGUAUUUAGGAAGAGAACGUCUAAAAAGACUCCUUAGAUUAACAAAAACACUAGUCUGAACCAAAUAGAGUAAUCUCAUUUUAUUAGCACAGUGAUUUAAUUUGGGCCUAAUUUAAUUUAAUGUGAGGCCCUUGCUAUUUUCUGGAAGAGCUGUGGAAAACCAGAAACCCUCCUCUUGGAUGUGAAUGAGAGGAUGAAACCUUUGUCACAACCAGCAGUUAUCCUAUAACCAAGUGGAAAACCAGCUUUGGGUGAAAUUGGCACUGUAAAUGGCAAAGCAGAGAUGGACAAAAACCUCAGUCCUACAUGAAAUUCUUCAAAUACUGGCUCAACCAACCCUGAAAUCUACGAUACCUCUGGAUUUCUGCUACUCUGUACCUUUUCUUUUGGUUUAAACCACUUUAAAGUGGGUUUCUGUUACCUGAAGUCAAAAGCAAGCACCGUUGCUUGCUAGGUGUUUGCUAGGCAGCAUCCUAAUCGCCGCCCUGAGACUGUCACAGGAUUCUUGGGACUAUUAAUAUAAGUGAAAGCAUCUACUAUAGUUCCUAGCCAAAUUAAUAAAUUUUUUGAAAAAAACCAUUUGAAGCCAUAUGAAGAAGGCUACUUUUUUGGGCCCUGAUCUAUGAGCCACUACAUUUAUUAAUUUUAGAAAAAUUUAUAUUGUUUACUUUCAGGAAUGUUCUGUUUUGUGAAACAGAUUUUUUUGGGGGCGGGGAAUAGAAGUAGAGGGGUAAAAAUAAUUAGGGUCCUUAAGUCUAUUUGAUGCUGGUAAUCUGGAUCUGGUUUUUUUGGCAUCUUCCUUAUUUCUGAAAAUUUUUCCUAUUUUUGCCUCAAUGUGUGGUCUGCAGGCCACCUACAU